rnacentral:rRNA from 1 species
AAGACCUCGCGCUAUUGGAGCGGCCGAUGUCCGAUUAGCUAGUUGGUGGGGUAAAGGCCUACCAAGGCAACGAUCGGUAGCUGGUCUGAGAGGAUGAUCAGCCACACUGGGACUGAGACACGGCCCAGACUCCUACGGGAGGCAGCAGUGGGGAAUUUUGGACAAUGGGCGCAAGCCUGAUCCAGCCAUGCCGCGUGAGUGAAGAAGGCCUUCMGGUUGUAAAGCUCUUUCAGUCGAYAAGAAAAGGUCGCGGCUAAUAAUCGUGAUCCAUGACGGUAUCYACAGAAGAAGCACCGGCUAACUACGUGCCAGCAGCCGCGGUAAUACGUAGGGUGCGAGCGUUAAUCGGAAUUACUGGGCGUAAAGGGUGCGCAGGCGGUUUUGUAAGUCAGAUGUGAAAUCCCCGGGCUUAACCUGGGAACU